UACGUAGGGGGCAAGCGUUGUCCGGAAUCAUUGGGCGUAAAGCGCGUGUAGGCGGCUCGGUAAGUCUGCUGUGAAAGUCCAGGGCUCAACCCUGGGAUGCCGGUGGAUACUGUCGAGCUCGAGUCCGGAAGAGGCGAGUGGAAUUCCUGGUGUAGCGGUGAAAUGCGCAGAUAUCAGGAGGAACACCGAUUGCGAAGGCAGCUCGCUGGGACGUAACUGACGCUGAGACGCGAAAGCGUGGGGAGCAAACAGG
rnacentral:rRNA from 1 species